CAUUCUUUUCUUUUUUCUUCUCAAACCAACAGCAAAGAGACUUUUGAAGACCUUUGAAAACUCUUCUAUCAGUCCUCUUGGGAACUCUAAGAGGAUGAUUUUAAGGACACUGUCAACUGGGAGAUCUUUUUCCAAACAAACACUGCUCUCAUUUUUGACAUCUGGAUUUUGACAUCAAGAGUUGCCUGCAUUCUGAGCUUGGAAUUCAUCUUUGAAAAGCCUCAUCCUUCUGCGGGACGUGGAGGACGCGGGACGACGCGUAGGACUGGGCUGUCAGCCCCAGUUUUCCAUGCAGUGUUUGAGAAGCUUUGCUCUGGUCCCAAAAAAAAAAAACAAAACAAAACAAAAGAAAACAAGAAAGAAAGAGAAGGAAAGAAAGACAAGGUUUGAGCUGGCUGUAGUGGCUCCUGCCUGUAGUCCCGGCUCCUCAUUAGGCUAAGGUGAGAAAAUUGCUUGAGCCCAGGAGUUUGAGGCCAGCCUG
rnacentral:lncRNA from 1 species